GGAGGAUAAGCGAAUGGUGAGCAGGCUGACUCGAAAUCAGUUGCCGGGAAACCGGUUGCGAGUUCGAAUCUCGUGUCCUCCG
rnacentral:tRNA from 1 species